GCCCAUGUAGCUCAGUCGGUAGAGCACCUCCUUGGUAAGGAGGUGGUCGCCAGUUCGAUUCUGGCCGUGGGCUCCA
rnacentral:tRNA from 1 species